GUGAGGAAUAUUGCGCAAUGGAGGCAACUCUGACGCAGCCAUGCCGCGUGCAGGAAGAAGGCGCUACGCGUUGUAAACUGCUUUUAACCGGGAUGAAACCCCAGGACGUGUCCUGGGUUGACGGUACCGGAGGAAUAAGCACCGGCUAACUUCGUGCCAGCAGCCGCGGUAAUACGAAGGGUGCAAGCGUUAUCCGGAUUCAUUGGGUUUAAAGGGUGCGUAGACGGAGCGUUAAGUCAGUGGUGAAAUCCUGCAGCUUAACUGUAGACUUGCCAUUGAUACUGGCGCUCUUGAGUGCGCUUGAAGUGGGCGGAAUGUGCCGUGUAGCGGUGAAAUGCUUAGAUAUGGCACAGAACACCAAUUGCGAAGGCAGCUCACUAAGGCGAUACUGACGCUGAGGCACGAAAGCGUGGGGAUCGAACAGGAUUAGAUACCCGGGUAGUCC
rnacentral:rRNA from 1 species